GACGAACGCUGGCGGCGUGCCUAAUACAUGCAAGUCGAGCGAAGUUUUUCUGGUGCUUGCACUAGAAAAACUUAGCGGCGAACGGGUGAGUAACACGUAAAGAACCUGCCUCAUAGACUGGGACAACUAUUGGAAACGAUAGCUAAUACCGGAUAACAGUAUUUCUCGCACGAGAGAUAUUUAAAAGUUGGUUAUGCUAACACUAUGAGAUGGCUUUGCGGUGCAUUAGCUAGUUGGUGGGGUAAGGCCCACCAAGGCGACGAUGCAUAGCCGACCUGAGAGGGUGAUCGGCCACACUGGGACUGAGACACGGCCCAGACUCCUACGGGAGGCAGCAGUAGGGAAUCUUCCGCAAUGGGCGAAAGCCUGACGGAGCAACGCCGCGUGAGUGAAGAAGGAUUUCGGUUCGUAAAGCUCUGUUGUUAGGGAAGAAUGGAUAUGUAGUAACUAUACAUGUAAGAGACGGUACCUAACCAGAAAGCCACGGCUAACUACGUG
rnacentral:rRNA from 1 species